rnacentral:rRNA from 1 species
GAUGAACGCUGGCGGCGUGCUUAACACAUGCAAGUCGAACGGAAAGGCUCCUGCUUGCAGGGGUACUCGAGUGGCGAACGGGUGAGUAACACGUGGGUGAUCUGCCCUGCACUUCGGGAUAAGCCUGGGAAACUGGGUCUAAUACCGGAUAGGACCACAUUUUGGAUGGUGUGGUGGAAAGUUUUUCGGUGUGGGAUGAGCUCGCGGCCUAUCAGCUUGUUGGUGGGGUAAUGGCCUACCAAGGCGUCGACGGGUAGCCGGCCUGAGAGGGUGUACGGCCACAUUGUGACUGAGAGACGGCCCAGACUCCGACGGGAGGCAGCAGUGGGGAAUAUUGCACAAUGGGCGCAAGCCUGAUGCAGCGACGCCGCGUGGGGGAUGACGGCCUUCGGGUUGUAAACUCCUUUCGCUAGGGACGAAGCGUUUUUGUGACGGUACCUGGAGAAGAAGCACCGGCUAACUACGUG